UGCUCGAGUGGCGAACGGGUGAGUAACACGUGGGUGAUCUGCCCUGCACUUCGGGAUAAGCUUGGGAAACUGGGUCUAAUACCGGAUAGGACCAUCGUUUAGUGUCGGUGGUGGAAAGUUUUUUCGGUGUGGGAUGAGCUCGCGGCCUAUCAGCUUGUUGGUGGGGUAAUGGCCUACCAGGCGUCGACGGGUAGCCGGCCUGAGAGGGUGUACGGCCACAUUGGGACUGAGAUACGGCCCAG
rnacentral:rRNA from 1 species